UGUGUAUAUAUGUAUAUGUAUAUAUGUCUAUGUAUGUAUGUAUGUAUGUGUAUAUAUAUAUAUGUAAAUAUCCAUAAGGAUAAUCAUAAAACUUAGCUCUUUAUUCAAACGUUUAACUAGACUUUACAGUGUUACAGUCUGGAAAUAAAGCAGGGAUCACAGCCUGAUCUGAAUCUGUUCAUCUUGGUCCAUUUAUGUAAAACGAGUCUGUAACAUCUCCACAGUAACAAUAAGAUAUAAGUCAACCUCUGAAAGUCUAACGUUUGAAAGUGAAGCUUUUAACGCUUUACUUCCAAAGGCAUCAAGCUGAGAAUUACCAACGUAUUUUACCUCGAAAUAUAUGACUAUGUUUUACUGUAUAUACUAUAUAUACCUUCCUUCCAAGCAGAGAGAUAUUUUGCAAAUAUUACUGCAAAAGUGGGUCCUCAGUUAUUAGUAUACAGAGAAAAUGGACUGAUUCACUCGUGAUAUUAACCCUCCACCUCCGCCAAUAGUAGCUCAGACAUUUCAAACUAAGAUAAAACUUUAUCUACAAAACAGAUCAAAGUGAGCCACAAGUCCACAUCUGAACAGCAUUUUAGAAAGAAAAAGAGUGGCGUGGUGUAAUUGUGCACUAUAACAGCAAUGUAACAGAUACAGGAAGUACAGUGGGUUACAAACCACAAAUUGACUAUUACCUGGAAAAAAGCUAAAAGCUUUCAAAACAUGUGCAGAUUUAACGGAACACAAAGCAGGAUGAUGUACAAACCUUGAGGCAAGUUCAGAAAAGUGAAGGAAUUCCACAACAUCGCUGACACAGUGGAGCAGCCAAUCAGUGCAGUCGUUAACGUUUCAGCCAAUCAGAGCAGACCCAUCUCCUCUGCACUUGAAGGGCGGAAGAGAGCUAGGAUUAGAAGGAAUCAUGGACGGAGGUGGAAUAACAAGCAGUCAGGAACCUGAAGAGGAGCCUCAGACAGCAGGACCACAGCAGCAGGUCUCGUCUGACUGCAGCCCUCCAAGCAAGCAGUGUAAGAGGACCAAGCACAAAUGUCCCAUUUGUGGGCAACUGUAUGCUGACAUUAUCCAGCACCUGAGAAGCACGGAAAAGGUGGUCAAUAAAACAGAGCUCCUUCUUCUGAGCAAGACUUCUCAUCGACAUUUUAGGACAAAUCUGGACUGCCCAGUGCAUCUCUGCAAGUCCAAACAUAUAAACCGACUAGACAAGCAUCUGCAAAAGAUCCACCAUCUGAAGAACCCAAUGGUAAGCCUUUAUAUAGAAAAAGCUAAGGACAGGUACAUCGCGAGAGAACUGGCCCUCCUACGUGCGUCGAAACCCGUACCACCAAUGGUGUCUCAUCUGGACGAGGUCGAUGCUUCAGCCAUAGAAGAGGGUGUCAGGAGGGUGAUAGAGGCCAGAUCACAAGCUGCAGCGUCUGCCACUGUGCCUCCUCUUUCGGGCCCCCUCCGCAGUUCUCCCCCUGCCAGCCAGGCUUCCUGUGACCCAGAUAGACAAGCUCCAUCAACCAGCCAGGUUUGUGACCCAGAAACUGUACCAGCUGUGCAGGAUCCUUGCCAACAGGCCAAGCGAGGAAGAAGGCACUCUGUCGUGAGCACCCCUGAUCCUGGGUGCAGGAACUGCCAGCUUCUGUCUGCUGAGCUAAAGGUGGUGAAGGACCUGCUGGAGAUCGAAAUUGAAAGAAACGAUGAGCUGAAGCAGCUCCAUUGUUCCACAAUGCGUGCAACUGCAGCAAAACAUCGCAGACGUGCACCAUUUGACCCCAGCAAAGCCCCUCGCUAUGUAAGUUUGGUCGAGGAAUUUAGGAGCCACACAGAAGGUGCCAAUCCCAGUAGAAAAACUUCGGACAAUGCCAAGCAGCGAGGCAAACAUGUAAUCGAUUUUCUAAAGUACAUGGCAGAGCCAGGAUCCCCAAGUGUUGACCUUCUCUUCCUGCGUGACCAUGCUAGAGUCCGUGGUUUUGUUGAAGUCCUUCAGGGAAAAAGAUUUACACCAACCACUCAGAGGAGUUAUUUAAUGGAUGUUGUGGCCUUUUUGAAAUAUAUUUCAAACAUGGCCCCACUAGCCGUCAGAUUAGGAACGAAAAGAAUCAACUGCAUCCUGGUGGAGCUGAGGGCCCGGCUCAAAGACAUUGGCCGGGAUAUUGUCAGCCACCAGCUAAGUGUGAGGCGAAGGAAAUCUGAGAGACUGGUCAAGGCAAAGACACAUUCAAGGUUUAUGCAUGAGGCCCCUAAGAGGAUAACUGCAGCACUGGUUGAGCUUGAGAAGCAUCCAGAGGACAGAGGAUCUCUUAAAGAGUUUUUUGGACUGCUGGCUGGGUACAUAAUUUCCACAACAGGCCACCGAAAGGGUGUUGUUGUUAACAUGACAACAAAGGAGGUCAAUGAGGCUGAAAAAACUACGCAGGGUGCCCGCAUCAUCCGUGUUGGACAGCACAAGACUCAGAGACACUUUGGUGAAGCAGCUGUACCCCUCAAUCCAAGUGAGUAUUCCUGGCUGCAGCGUUACAACCUGCUUCGACACAGCAUCGAAGGAGGCAAAGAGGCUUCAACCUUCUUUCACACGACCAGUGGAGGCGUUCUGCUGAGGCUGUCUGAAUAUUUCAAGGAGGCCUGGAAGCGGAUGGGCUUGGGGACACCCCCAACUUUCAACAUGCUUCGCUCCUCUGUUGCCACUUAUGCCAAGCGACACUUAGGAGACAGCGCAUACAAGAAGGUGGCAACAUUCAUGUGUCAUGAUGCCUCUACGGCCAAGAGAUUUUAUCACGCGGAGGACCCAGCAGAGGUCACGCUCAAAAGCAGAGAGUUGUCAAUGAUGGCAAUUUCCUCAUAUGCUGCGAAUGAGGGUAAUGCAGAACCGGAUCCUGAAGAGGACGAGGAAAAUGUGCCAAAAAGGACUUACCAGCUGCGUGAGAGAAGGACAUCUGAUGGGACAGAUAAACAGGAGGUCGAGUUCCCUUUCCAAAAAAGAGAGUGGUUGAGUUCUUCUGAGGGUGAUGGCUCUGCAGAUGAAUGGAAACCCACACAGAAGGAAUUUGAGGAUGAUUCUGAAGAAGAGGAGGAACAGGUCAUACAAAGCGUUCACACGGUGGCCAAAAGAAAGAGAUCUGUCCUGCAAAGAGAAGAAGAGUGCUCCUCUGGUCAGAAAACUACACAGGCGGAAUCGGAGGAGGAUUCUGAAGAAGAGGAGGAACAGGUCACACGAAGGGUUCACAAGAUGGCCAAAAGAAAGAGGUCUGAGAGCCCUGUCUGGCAAAGAGAGAUGCAGCCGGCUUUUGUAAGCCCAGGAACAGCAAAGAUGUUGACAACGCACUCAAAAAAAGUCAAUAUUGGGAAGAUUAUUUUCCACAAGUCACCCCUCUAUGAUGUCACCAUGCCAAUAUCUGGUGACAUCAUCAAACACCAGGCGGGAUCCACAGUCGGACAGAUGAUUCCCUUAGGAUCCGUGGGAGAAACAGUCUCCAAAGAGUUGCUGUUGGAGAAUGAAAUUUCAGUGGCAGACACAACAUUCGACAAGAACCUGUCUGAAGGAAGGGCGGGAGAAUAUAAAGGACAAGAAAAAGAAGGUGAAGUGGAUGAGGGCUCUUUAGAGAAGUCAAAGACUGAAGGUGAAGACAAAAAUAAGACAGAAAAUAAGAUAAAAGAAGGACGAAAUACAGAGAAAGAGACACAGGAAGACUCUUUUGAGAAAAUAGAGAGUAAGAGUGAAAAAAUAAAGAAGAGCGAAACAAAGAUUCAAGAGGAGUCCUUGGAGAAGAUGGAGAGUAAGAAUGAAAAUGGAGAGAAGAGAGAAACAAAGAUUCAAGAGAAGUCUUUGGAGAAGAUGGAGAGUAAGAGUGAAAGGGAAAGAAGGGAGAAACAAGGAUUCAAGAGAAGUCUUUGGAGAAGAUGGAGAGUAAGAGUGAAAAGGGAAAGAAGAGAGAACCAAAGAUUCGAGAAGCUCCUUUGGUGAUGACGAGUAGUAAAGUUAAAGGAGAUUCAGGAGUAGAGCAAAGAAAGAUGAGAAGCAUGUGGUGAUGAUGAGGAGUAGGGCUAAGAAUUGCAAAGGAGAAAGCUAAAAGAGGAGCAUUUGGAGACGAGUGAGAGGGAAAGUGAAGAAGGAUCAAGUGGAACAGCACAAACCUGGAAGUCUUUGGAGAAGAUAGAGGGUAGAGUGAAAAGGGAAACAAAAUAGAAACAAAGAUUCAAGAGAAGUCUUCGGAGAAGAUGGA
rnacentral:lncRNA from 1 species